AACGAGUCGGCCUUGAAACCCUAGAUCGAAAAAGAAAAAUCAGAUGGCAGAACAUCUAGCCUCUAUAUUCGGCACGGAGAAGGACAGGGUGAACUGCCCUUUCUACUUCAAGAUCGGCGCCUGUCGUCACGGAGAUCGAUGCUCCAGGCUUCACACCAAGCCUAGUAUCAGCCCUACUCUCCUUCUCUCUAAUAUGUAUCAGCGUCCUGAUAUGAUUACUCCUGGUGUUGAUCCUCAGGGCCAGCCUCUCGAUCC
rnacentral:lncRNA from 1 species